rnacentral:tRNA from 2 species
CGCGGGGUAGAGCAGUUGGUAGCUCGUCGGGCUCAUAACCCGGAGGUCGCAAGUUCGAGUCUUGUCCCCGCAACCA